rnacentral:rRNA from 1 species
AGCAGCCGCGGUAAUUCCAGCUCCAAUAGCGUAUAUUAAAGUUGUUGCAGUCAAAAAGCUCGUAGUUGAAUUUCGGGAUCAAUAUGUCGGUCGUGCCAUUGGUACGUACUGGUAUCAUUGAUUUCUCCCUUCUGACGAACCAUGAUGUCAUUAAUUUGGUGUUAUGGGGAGUUAGGACUGUUACUUUGAAAAAAUUAGAGUGUUUAAAGCAGGCAUUAGCUUGAAUACAUUAGCAUGGAAUAAUGAAAUAGGACGUUUGACCCUAUUUUGUUGGUUUCUAGGAUCGACGUAAUGAUUAAUAGGGAUAGUUGGGGGCAUUAGUAUUCAAUUGUCAGAGGUGAAAUUCUUGGAUUUAUUGAAGACUAACUACUGCGAAAGCAUUUGCCAAGGAUGUUUUCAUUAAUCAAGAACGAAAGUUAGGGGAUCGAAGACGAUCAGAUACCGUCGUAGUCUUAACCAUAAACUAUGCCGACUAGGGAUCGGAUGAUGUUAAUUUUUUAAUGACUCA